AGAGACAGGAUCUGAGGAAGGGAAGGAGUUCAUUAUUAUUCUCUGAAGUCAUCAGGGAGCACCAAGAGGGUGGGAUUUCAGGAAGUAUUUAAAUGAAAGGAGACACAUGGCUUGGCACAGUGAGAGGGAGGUUUUCCAGGCUUCCUGUGCUGUCUUGGGGACCUGCUCAGAGGCUGGACCGCGUCAUGCUCAGAAGGGGAUUCUUCACCCAUGGUUGCUUAGGUUUAUAAGCAAGGAAGCUGAAUGAAGUCCCUUUCCUCUCUGGAUGAGCCCCUGGGUUUCUGGAAGAGUCUUAAAAUCACCCCUAAAUGGCUUCCAAGCACUGAAGCCCGAGAUGUUAGCUGGCCUGUGUGAGGCCUUGAGACAGAAUGCCACAGCCACACCCCAAGGAUGCUGAAGGGGAUUUCCCUCCUCUGUGGUUUUUCUCCUUUCUUCCCGCAGCACUCCUCCUACGUGCUAACAUCUUCUAGUCAAACAACUCUCCUUUUCAAAGGGACCAGGCACAGUUUCUGCUUAUCCCUGAGUAGCAGUGUUCAGUUUCCUGCCAGCCUGUGGAGUUUUUCAAACAAGCCAAUCACCUCCUCCUGUGGGAACUGAGAAGCACCCCACCCUCUCGAUACUACAAAGCCCCUGCUUGUUCCCUAGUGCAACUCCCAUGUGGUCCUGUGGAGCAUAUGGUAUCUUCCUCUUCUGGGCAGUGAGCAUAUGUGACUAAUAAACUAUCUAUCUCAUCUGUUCA
ensembl:lncRNA LRRC52-AS1 LRRC52 antisense RNA 1